rnacentral:misc_RNA from 1 species
AGAGAUCUUGGUCCAAACACGCGUGGCCAACAAUAUCGUGCCAAUUGGAACAUAUACAAAAUGACACAAAACACCAGAGGAAACCUUCGAGAAAUGGCAUCAUCAAUCGCACAGUAUGGUUUACGUUGAUAUUGAUAUGCAUGGGAUUUUGUUUGUUUCAUAGCAUAGCUUAUUUAAGAGAAUACUUUCAAUACCCUACCGUACUAAAUGUUCAAGUUAAUACCGAAAGCAAAUUGGAUUUUCCUGCAGUAACCGUUUGUAAUUACAAUAGAAUAAGAAGUAAUGCUCUAGAUUCGUUUUGUUGUACAUCCGGAUUACUCUUGAAAGCAAGCAGUUUAUGCCACGUCUUAAAUGUUACUUGUUCUCAAACCAAUAACGAAGAGGCUUCCUCCAAAAGACUGAAAACUCUUAUUGGCUCUCCUCCUUUAUCUGCAUCUACUGCAUUUGCAACGUGUCCUCGUAACAGAACCAAUAAUACAGUUUCAUACGAAGGAUCCAUAAUGAAAUCUUUUUCUAACGCUUACGUAUCACUUCCUCUGUCUAAGAAAAUCCAAAUGGGACACCAGGUACAAAAAUUCGUACACCAAUGCCAAUUCAUGGGCCAACCGUGUGACCACUUAAAUUUCACGACAUUUCAUACUUUUCUUUAUGGAAAUUGUUUCACAUUUAACUCUGGUCAAAACGGCAAAGAUAUUCUUCGAGCAACUACCGAUGGAAGUAUGAGCGGCCUUCACCUAGAAUUAAAUCUGGAGACCGACGAAUAUAUAUUUGAUCUUACAAAUAAUAUCGGAGCAAGAUUAAUUAUCCAUCCUUCAAAUGUUAAACCGCUGCCAGAAAACGAAGGAAUUGCCAUCACGUCGGAAUUAGAAACCUCGAUAUCUAUCGAACAGGUAAAUAUUCAUCGUUCGAAACCUCCUUAUCCCGAUAAUUGUAUCGAUUAUCCGAAUGAUGGCGAAGGAUUUUUAUACACUAGGAACACUUGUCUUCGAGAUUGUUUUCAGCAAUUAAGUCAAAACAAAUGCAGUUGCGCGGAUCCAACAUGGCCGCUUCCUCGUAACAGCACGUCUUGCGAUUUGCGCGACGUAACACAAGUUUGCUGUUUAGACGACGUCAGACAACUGUUAAGAAAUGACGAAAAUAUUUGCAUAUGUCCGUUGCCUUGUUGUGAAAUCCAAUACAAGCUGUCAGUUUCUUCAACCAAAUGGAAUCCUCUAAAAUCUAAACAUCCUUCCUUCUGAUAUUGCUAAAGUUCGUAUUUAUUUUCAAACAUUAGAUCAUGUGGUAUUAAAAAGUCAUCCCAAAUAUCAGGUUCAAGAUAUAUUCAGCAAUCUAGGAGGACAAAUGGGCAUGUGGUUAGGUAUAUCUUUAAUGACGUUGCUACAUUAUUUCGAAACUAUCUUGGGUUCUGUGUUCUGUAAACAAAAGCAAACCAUUCAUCAAAGUCCAA